rnacentral:rRNA from 1 species
AUUGAACGCUGGCGGCAGGCCUAACACAUGCAAGUCGAGCGAGCGGCGGAGGGGUGUGUAAUGUAUGGGGACUGCACGAUAGAGGGGGGUAACUACUGGAGACGGUAGCUAAUACAGCAUACGAUCGGAUAACCCAGAUGUGAUUAGCUAGUAGGUGAGGUAAUGGCGCACCUAGGCGACGAUCCCUAGCUGGUCUGAGAGGAUGAUCAGCCACACUGGGACGGAGACACGGCCCCGACUCCUACGGAGGCAGCAGUGGGGAAUAUUGCACAAUGGGCGCAAGCCGGAUGCAGCCAUGCCGCGGGUAUGAAGAAGGCCCUAGGGUUGUAAAGUACUUUCAGUCGGGAGGCGUUACCAGCAGAAGAAGCCCCGGCUAACUCCGUGCCAGCAGCCGCGGUAAUUC